GAUGAACGCUGGCGGCGUGCUUAACACAUGCAAGUCGAACGGAAAGGCCCAAGCUUGCUUGGGUACUCGAGUGGCGAACGGGUGAGUAACACGUGGGUGAUCUGCCCUGCACUUCGGGAUAAGCCUGGGAAACUGGGUCUAAUACCGGAUAGGACCACUUCUUGGAUGUUGUGGUGGAAAGUUUUUUCGGUGUGGGAUGAGCUCGCGGCCUAUCAGCUUGUUGGUGGGGUAAUGGCCUACCAAGGCGUCGACGGGUAGCCGGCCUGAGAGGGUGUACGGCCACAUUGGGACUGAGAUACGGCCCAGACGCCUACGGGAGGCAGCAGUGGGGAAUAUUGCACAAUGGGCGCAAGCCUGAUGCAGCGACGCCGCGGGGGGGAUGACGGCCUUCGGGUUGUAAACUCCUUUCGCUAGGGACGAAGCGUUUUGUGACGGUACCUGGAGAAGAAGCACCGGCUAACUACGUG
rnacentral:rRNA from 1 species